UACGGAGGAUGCGAGCGUUAUCCGGAUUUAUUGGGUUUAAAGGGAGCGCAGACGGGUUUUUAAGUCAGCUGUGAAAGUUUGGGGCUCAACCUUAAAAUUGCAGUUGAUACUGGAGACCUUGAGUGCAGUUGAGGCAGGCGGAAUUCGUGGUGUAGCGGUGAAAUGCUUAGAUAUCACGAAGAAUUCCGAUUGCGAAGGCGGCUUGCUAAAGUGUAACUGACGUUCAUGCGCGAAAGGGUGGGGAUCAAACA
rnacentral:rRNA from 1 species